rnacentral:rRNA from 1 species
GCCACGGGCUUCGGCUCGUGCGUGCUCGCCAGAGAACCCCAAACUCUGAAUAUUAAUGUCGUCUGAGUACUAUAUAAUAGUUAAAACUUUCAACAACGGAUCUCUUGGUUCUGGCAUCGAUGAAGAACGCAGCGAAAUGCGAUAAGUAAUGUGAAUUGCAGAAUUCAGUGAAUCAUCGAGUCUUUGAACGCACAUUGCGCCCCGUGGUAUUCCGCGGGGCAUGCCUGUUCGAGCGUCAGUACAACACUCAAGCUCUGCUUGGUAUUGGAUCACACCGGCAACGGUCGAUCUUAAAAUCAGUGGCGGUGCCCUCUGGCUCUAAGCGUAGUAAUUUCUCUCGCUACAGUGCCCAGGUGGUGUCCUGCCAGCAACCCCCAAUUUUCUAGUUUGACCUCGGAUCAGGUAGGGAUACCCGCUGAACUUAAGCAUAUCAAUAAGCGGAGGA